AUUGAACGCUGGCGGCAGGCCUAACACAUGCAAGUCGAGCGAGCGGCGGACGGGUGAGUAAUGUAUGGGGACUGCCCGAUAGAGGGGGAUAACUACUGGAAACGGUGGCUAAUACCGCAUACUAUCGGAUAACCCAUAUGGGUUUAGCUAGUAGGUGGGGUAAAGGCUCACCUAGGCGACGAUCUCUCGCGGGUCUGAGAGGAUGAUCAUCCACACUGGGACAGAGACACGGCCCCGAUGCCAACGGGGGCAGCAGGGGGGAAUAUUGCAGAAUGGGCGCAAGCAUGAUGCAGCCAUGCCGGGGGGAUGAAGAUGGCCUUAGGGUUGUAAACUCCUUUCACCAUCGGCGCGGUAGAUGGAGAAGAAGCACCGGCUAACUACGUGCCAGCAGCCGCGGUAAUUC
rnacentral:rRNA from 1 species